UACGAGAGGCGCAAAUGUUAUUCGGAAUUACUGGGCUUAAAGAGUUCGUAGGCGGCGCAGAAAGUAGGGUGUGAAAGCCCUCGGCUCAACCGAGGAAUUGCGCUCUAAACUACUGUGCUUGAGGGACCUAGAGGUGAGCGGAACUGAUGGUGGAGCGGUGAAAUGCGUUGAUAUCAUCAGGAACACCGGAGGCGAAGGCGGCUCACUGGGGGUCUUCUGACGCUGAGGAACGAAAGCCAGGGGAGCGAACGGG
rnacentral:rRNA from 1 species